rnacentral:tRNA from 1 species
UGGCUGAAUGGUUACAGUGUUCGCUUUGUAAGCAAAUGGUUCUGGGUUAGAUUCCCAU